rnacentral:lncRNA from 1 species
CCUCCUCUUUGAUUGAUCCCCUCCUCCUCUAUCAUUGACAUCUCUCUUUCCCCCUCCUCCUUCUCCCUCUUCUCCUUCCUCCUCAUCCACUUCUCCUCCUCCAUACUGGCUCCUUCUAUCUCCAUCCAUUCUUCACCGACAACCUAUCUUUCUCCUUCUCUCUUUACUUCUCACCUACUUCUCCUCCUCAUCCUCCUCCAAGCUCGUCCAUGAGCCCUUUCUCUCCAUCGUAGCUCUUUAACUCCACCUCCAACUAUUCUUCACCAACGACCCCUUUAUCCUCCUCCUCUCCUUUCUCCUCAUCUAUUUCUCCUCAUUCUCCUCCUCCUCCAA